rnacentral:rRNA from 1 species
CAGGUGGUGCAUGGUUGUCGUCAGCUCGUGUCGUGAGAUGUUGGGUUAAGUCCCGCAACGAGCGCAACCCUUAAGCUUAGUUGCCAGCAUUAAGUUGGGCACUCUAAGUUGACUGCCGGUGACAAACCGGAGGAAGGUGGGGAUGACGUCAAAUCAUCAUGCCCCUUAUGAUUUGGGCUACACACGUGCUACAAUGGACAAUACAAAGGGCAGCUAAACCGCGAGGUCAUGCAAAUCCCAUAAAGUUGUUCUCAGUUCGGAUUGUAGUCUGCAACUCGACUACAUGAAGCUGGAAUCGCUAGUAAUCGUAGAUCAGCAUGCUACGGUGAAUACGUUCCCGGGUCUUGUACACACCGCCCGUCACACCACGAGAGUCUGUAACACCCGAAGCCGGUGGAGUAACCAUUUAUGGAGCUAGCCGUCGAAGGUGGGACAAAUGAUUGGGGUGAAGUCGUAACAAGGUAGCCGUAUCGGAAGGUGCGGUUGGAUCACCUC